UCGGGAAUUUUGGGCAAUGGGGGAAACCCUGACCCAGCAACGCCGCGUGAAGGAUGAAGUAUUUCGGUAUGUAAACUUCGAAAGAAUAGGAAGAAUAAAUGACGGUACUAUUUAUAAGGUCCGGCUAACUACGUGCCAGCAGCCGCGGUAAUACGUAGGGACCAAGCGUUGUUCGGAUUUACUGGGCGUAAAGGGCGCGUAGGCGGCAUGACAAGUCACUUGUGAAAUCUCUGGGCUUAACCCAGAACGGCCAAGUGAUACUGUCGCGCUAGAGUGCAGAAGGGGCAAUCGGAAUUCUUGGUGUAGCGGUGAAAUGCGUAGAUAUCAAGAGGAACACCUGAGGUGAAGACGGGUUGCUGGGCUGACACUGACGCUGAGGCGCGAAAGCCAGGGGAGCAAACGGGAUUAGAUACCCCAGUAGUCCCCUGAGCGGGCUGGCAAGGCGCAU
rnacentral:rRNA from 1 species